rnacentral:lncRNA from 1 species
CUAUAUUUGGUGUAUAGAACAAUUGCAAGGUGUACAUGUCAAUCUGAAUGGGUUUAUAUGACUGACACAUAAUUUUCAUGGAUAACUUACUGUGCAAAGCUUAUUUUAUACCUGUAUUAUGACAUUAACCCUAGUGAUGACUUGGGUAUAUGUCACCGAGGACCAGUGUGGCAUGCUUUUUUGCUAGGGGGGAAUAACUAUGCAUGUUUGACCCAAAAUAACCAAUUUGAAUGAUGUAAAUAAAGAAAGGUUUAUACAACUGUAGAACUUUUUGAGAAAGGAUUGUAUUUUAUGUUAGUAAAUAAUAACUUCAAACUCAAUCAAUUUAAUAA